rnacentral:rRNA from 1 species
GAUGAACGCUGGCGGCGUGUCUAAUACAUGCAAGUAGAACGCUGAAGGAAGGAGCUUGCUCUUUCCGGAUGAGUUGCGAAAGGGUGAGUAACGCGUAGGUAACCUGCCUGGUAGCGGGGGAUAACUAUUGGAAACGAUAGCUAAUACCGCAUAACAGUAGAUGUUGCAUGACAACUAUUUGAAAGGGGCAAUUGCUCCACUACCAGAUGGACCUGCGUUGUAUUAGCUAGUUGGUGAGGUAACGGCUCACCAAGGCGACGAUACAUAGCCGACCUGAGAGGGUGAUCGGCCACACUGGGACUGAGACACGGCCCAGACUCCUACGGGAGGCAGCAGUAGGGAAUCUUCGGCAAUGGACGGAAGUCUGACCGAGCAACGCCGCGUGAGUGAAGAAGGUUUUCGGAUCGUAAAGCUCUGUUGUAAGAGAAGAACGAGUGUGAGAGUGGAAAGUUCACACUGUGACGGUAUCUUACCAGAAAGGGACGGCUAACUACGUG